rnacentral:rRNA from 1 species
UACGGAGGGUGCAAGCGUUAUCCGGAUUCACUGGGUUUAAAGGGUGCGUAGGCGGGUAGGUAAGUCAGUGGUGAAAUCUUCGAGCUUAACUCGGAAACUGCCGUUGGUACUAUCUAUCUUGAAUACCGUGGAGGUGAGCGGAAUAUGUCAUGUAGCGGUGAAAUGCUUAGAUAUGACAUAGAACACCAAUUGCGAAGGCAGCUCGCUACACGAAUAUUGACUCUGAGGCACGAAAGCGUGGGGAUCAAACAGG